rnacentral:tRNA from 1 species
CGGGAUAGCUCAAUCGGUAGAGCACCUGAUUUGUAAUCAGGGGGUCGGGGGUUCGAAUCCCUCUGCCCCGACCA